CAAGUAUUUAAUGCAGUGCCUAUUGUAGCCUACAGACCUGCUAGUUGACCAAUCACAAAAGUGAAGAAAAAAAUAGUUUUUAUAAAUAUUUCAUGCAAUUUUACCUAAUUUGACAUAUUAACAGAAUAUUUUUUUAAUACCACAUAAAUGACUGAAAUUACAACGUAAGAAAGAUGAGAUGAACACACCAGGCCUAUCAUAUUUCUCCAAUGCUAAAGCAGUAUGUGGUGUUUACAACAUAACUGAUCCUGUUUGUAAAUAAUUAAAUAGUCAACGUCAUUAGGAAUCUCAGUAUGUUUUGUACUUAGGCCUACCAGAAGUUAGGCCUACCUUUCCACCCCAGACAGUAGGUUCUACCUUUCCACCCCAGACAGUAGGUCCUACCUUUCCACCCCAGACAGUAGGUUCUACCUUUCCACCCCAGACAGUAGGUCCUACCUUUCCACCCC
rnacentral:lncRNA from 1 species